rnacentral:rRNA from 1 species
GGUUUUUUUGACGCAUAUUGCACGUCGUGGGACCUACCAUGAUGUACACAUACCUGAGUGCUU